GGGACAAUUUGCCGUCCCGGUGUCCGCCGAAGUCUUUAGACGUAGGCGGAAGAAUAGGGAAGAGGGUGCAAAUCCCUCGCUGCCCCGCAACUGUAAGCGGAGAUGAAAGCCAACCAGCGCCACUGUCCCUGUCGGGGAUGGGAAGGUGUGGCGAGUAAGCUGACCCGCAAGCCAGGAGACCUGCCGAGACGUUUAGUUGAAC
rnacentral:ncRNA from 2 species